GCGGGGUCACCUAGCCCUGCGCUCCCACCUGGGAGCACCUGGGACCCCUCCCCACCCCCCUGACCUGGGCCCUGCAGGGGGGCCCUGGAUGGAGAUUCCCGAGGGAAAUUCCCGACGGAGAGCGAGGAGGGAGCGCAGGUGAGCGGGGACAGGAUUCCCCGGGGGGAUCUGGGGAUCCCACCUGGGCUGCAGGUGAGGGCAGGGGCUGCCCCUCCCCCCAGGAGCACCUGGAGCACCUGGAUGGGCUGGAGGAGCUGGAUGAGCUGGAUGCAGAAAUCCUGGGAAUGGCCAGAGCCAGGAAAGGCGCCAGGAAGGGAACGGGGAAAGAUCCCAAGUUCCUUCUGGAAAAGCCGUUCCCGGAGGAGGAGCCGGCGGGGCCUGGGGACAGAACGGGACAGAGCAGGGACAGCGGUGAGGGGACACGGGGACACAGGGGACGGCAGAGCUGGUGACACCAGGGGUGUCCCUGUGCUGGUGACACCAGGGGUGUCCCUGUGCUGGUGACACCAGGGGUGUCCCGGUGUUGGUGACACCAGGGGUGUCCCAGUGCUGGUGACACCAGG
rnacentral:lncRNA from 12 species